GGCGCACGGGUGCGUAACGCGUAUGCAAUCUACCUUUUACAGAGGGAUAGCCCAGAGAAAUUUGGAUUAAUACCUCAUAGUAUUACGAAAUGGCAUCAUUUUGUAAUUAAAGUCACAACGGUAAAAGAUGAGCAUGCGUCCCAUUAGCUAGUUGGUAAGGUAACGGCUUACCAAGGCUACGAUGGGUAGGGGUCCUGAGAGGGAGAUCCCCCACACUGGUACUGAGACACGGACCAGACUCCUACGGGAGGCAGCAGUGAGGAAUAUUGGACAAUGGGCGCAAGCCUGAUCCAGCCAUGCCGCGUGCAGGAUGACGGUCCUAUGGAUUGUAAACUGCUUUUAUACGAGAAGAAACACUCCGACGUGUCGGAGCUUGACGGUAUCGUAAGAAUAAGGAUCGGCUAACUCCGUGCCAGCAGCCGCGGUAAUACGGAGGAUCCAAGCGUUAUCCGGAAUCAUUGGGUUUAAAGGGUCCGUAGGCGGUUUAAUAAGUCAGUGGUGAAAGCCCAUCGCUCAACGGUGGAACGGCCAUUGAUACUGUUAAACUUGAAUUAUUAGGAAGUAACUAGAAUAUGUAGUGUAGCGGUGAAAUGCUUAGAGAUUACAUGGAAUACCAAUUGCGAAGGCAGGUUACUACUAAUGGAUUGACGCUGAUGGACGAAAGCGUGGGUAGCGAACAGGAUUAGAUACCCUGGUAGUCCACGCCGUAAACGAUGGAUACUAGCUGUUGGAAGCAAUUUCAGUGGCUAAGCGAAAGUGAUAAGUAUCCCACCUGGGGAGUACGUUCGCAAGAUG
rnacentral:rRNA from 1 species